CCCAGGCCUUGUACACACCGCCCGUCACAUCAUGAAAGCCGUUUGUACCCGAAGUCGCCUCUCAAAAGGUGCCGAAGGUAUGGAUGGUGAUUGGGAUG
rnacentral:rRNA from 1 species